rnacentral:tRNA from 2 species
GGGUAGGUGGCGGAAUUGGUAUACGCGCACGGCUUAGGACCGUGUUCUCGAAAGAGAUUGCGAGUUCAAGUCUCGCCCUACCCA